AAGAGAAUAUCGAAUUAAAAGAAGCUGCUAACUAUCUUUUAAAGCGGUUAAACUCCGUUUUUCUCUUA
rnacentral:tRNA from 1 species